GGCUCAAUGGUCUAGUCGUAUGAUUGCCGCUUCGGGAGAGCGAUCCUUUGGUUGUGAAAGCCAUGAAGUGUGGCAGGUCCCGGGUUCAAAUCCCGGUUGAGCCC